UGAGUACGAGACGCUAAGGCGUCGAAGUAGUGGAUGUCAUACUUCCAAGAAAAGCUUGCACUGUCAUAAAUAAAAACGCCUGUACCAUAACCGACACAGGUGGGUAGGUAGAGUAUACUAAGGGGCGCGAGAUAACUCUCUCUAAGGAACUCGGCAAAAUGACUCCGUAACUUCGGGAGAAGGAGUGCCUUAUUCGUAAGGCUGCAAUAACAAGAUCCAAGCAACUGUUUAUCAAAAACACAGGUCUCCGCUAAGUCGUAAGACGAUGUAUGGGGGCUGACGCCUGCCCAGUGCCAGAAGGUUAAAGAAGUCGGUUAGCAUUAGCGAAGCUGGUAACUGAAGCCCUGGUGAACGGCGGCCGUAACAAUAACGGUCCUAAGGUAGCGAAAUUCCUUGUCGGGUAAGUUCCGACCCGCACGAAAGGCGUAAUGAUUUGGAUACUGUCUCGGAGAGGGGCUCGGUGAAAUAGACUUGUCUGUGAAGAUGCGGACUACCUGCACCAGGACAGAAAGACCCUAUGAAGCUUUACUGUAACUUGAAAUUGAAAUUGGACUUUAUUCGCGCAGUAUAGGUGGGAGGUGUUGAUUAUAAUCUUGCGGGAUUAUUGGAGCCAUCAGUGAGAUACCACUCUUGUAAUGUUAGAUUUCUAACUUUGAAUCAUUAUCUGGUCAAAGAACAGUUUCAGGCGGGCAGUUUGACUGGGGCGGUCGCCUCCUAAAUGGUAACGGAGGCGUACAAAGGUUUCCUCUGAACGGGUAGAAAUCGUAUCUAGAGUGUAAAGGCAUAAGGAAGCUUGACUGUGAGACCUACAAGUCGAGCAGGGACGAAAGUCGGUCUUAGUGAUCUGACGGUACUGAGUGGAAAGGCCGUCACUCAACGGAUAAAAGUUACUCUAAGGAUAACAGGCUGAUCUCCCCCAAGAGUUCACAUCGACGGGGAGGUUUGGCACCUCGAUGUCGGCUCAUCGCAUCCUGGGGCGGUAGUACGUCCCAAGGGUUGGGCUGUUCGCCCAUGAAAGCGGUACGCGAGCUGGGUUCAGAACGUCGUGAGACAGUUCGGUCCAUAUCCGGUGUAGGCGUUAGAAUAUUGAGAGGAGCCUUCUUUAGUACGAGAGGACCGAGAAGGACAUACCUCUGGUGUACCAGUUAUCGUGCCAACGGUAAACGCUGGGUAGCUAUGUAUGGAGUGGAUAACCGCUGAAAGCAUCUAAGUGGGAAGCCCGCCUCAAGAUAAGUAUUCUC
rnacentral:rRNA from 1 species